UACGUAGGUGGCAAGCGUUGUCCGGAUUUACUGGGCGUAAAGAGCGCGCAGGCGGUCGUUCAAGUCGAGUGUGAAAGCCCCCGGCUCAACUGGGGAGGGUCAUUCGAUACUGAUCGACUGGAAGGCAGGAGAGGGAAGCGGAAUUCCCGGUGUAGUGGUGAAAUGCGUAGAUAUCGGGAGGAACACCAGUGGCGAAGGCGGCUUCCUGGCCUGUUCUUGACGCUGAGGCGCGAAAAGCUAGGGGGG
rnacentral:rRNA from 1 species